UGGCCAAGAACAUAGUUGAUGUGGACCCUAGUGUGCAGAAUGAUGUCGCAGCCUGGCCUCAGUCUUGCUUUACUACUGUGGACCUGCCCAUGGGACCUGAAGAGGACAAGCAUGUUGCUGGAAUGGAUCUGGGCCUGCCUGCGUAUCAUGAAACUCGCUGCUUAACAACAGAAAUAAAGCACUUGUCAGGCUGCAGCGAUGCGUCAGUGCAAAAUGGAAUUUGCAAGACUAAAGUUUAUGCGAGGCAACAACAAAAUCCACUGUGUCAUUUUGUUGGGCAACAAAGGUGAUUUGUUAUGCAACAUAAUGAGGACUUGUGUGUGAUAGACAGCAGUGGCACUCAGUUACGGGGCGUUGACAUCAACAAGCACAUGCAGCAGGCAGAUCUAAGAGAAUUGCUAUACAUAGCAGGGAAUUCAAAAGCUUUGUUGUUAUUACAGGGUGGUUUUUUCCAACUUAAAAACCACAGAGUAAACAAACACUCUGAGGCCAGCCCUGCAGUCCUUUAUGGUCUGGUAGGACCUUCAUAGUUUCCUUUUGGGUUGGUCUGUGUCUUAGACUUGACUGUCAGCAUAAAGGCCACAAGGUCAGGGCUCACAGUGUCAUGCAUCUGUGGCUCUGACACAUUUGGCACAUCUCCUGCCAGCCCACAGAAUGACAAGGGAAGAGUGAGUGUAGGGGAAGAAGUAAGAUGCACUCAUGAUGCUGUUUACUGCUACUCAGAAGCCCAUGAUGCCUAAUCCUACACUGGGAUUAGCUCCACUGUUGCUGUUAGCGCAUACACUCCUAAAAGUCAGUUAUCCUUCCUGUAGGGAGCCAAUGGUCAUUCACCAAUUUUGCAGAUAUCCUGCCAACAGGUGGGCUGUGCACACAGCUGGGAAUAGAGCUAUGGCUAUAAGCAGUGAGAUUCACCUGCUUUGCAACAUCACCUUUCAAAACAAACCUACCUGCUGCUAUGAUUGUACCUCCUGUUUAUGAUGACUUUGGCUGCUCUCUGCCUCCAGAGCUGGGGCUAGACCCAAAGAUCCUGUUUGCUGACAUUCCAGUGCUGUCUCACAAAUGCUUGUGUAACUCACUGUUGGUUAUGUGUUCUCCCGGCCCACAUGGAAUGUUUCCCUUGUUGUUCAGCUGGAAGAGAGAGUCUGGGAGCAAUCUCUUCCUGAGAGCUGCAAGGGAGAAUCUGGGAUCAAGCUUCACUGAUAAAGGCAUGCUGGAAAAAUAAGGAAUCAAGACUGUGGCCUGUGGUAGGCAGAAUAGAGGACUAAUCUGCAGUUGUGUUGGUAACCUUUGUCGUGGCACUCUGUGGGGUUGGUUCUGUUUCUUCAGCAUGGAUGUAACAUUGUACCUUAUGCAUGAUAGUCUGGAAUAGUCAUAAUCAAGCAAACAGUUGUAUCCCAUGA